CCUGUUUAUUACCAUUCCUGCUGUUGUGGUUAUUAAUGUGUGUAUUAGCUUGCUCACUGUUUGAGACUCUUGCUGUACAGAGUACUGGGGAUAGUCGUGACCCUGGACAUGCCUGGGAAAUACAGUAUUAGGAAUAGGGAGGGACUUGGCUAGCACACUGUCCUGCGAGUGAGGGAGGGAGUGUGUUCUCUCUGCUGCUCUGUGUCCUGCUAUCUGGCAGAGCUGAGCAGUCUGUUGCAGAUACUGUAAGUCACUAAUUCUCUUAUUCUAUUGAAGUGCAGAUAUUUUAUCUCCCAUUCUUGCGAUCCCACAAUAGCACUUUGUUAAUGCUGCUCGCUGGUACAUGUUCGAAAAUGUAUUUAGAGGGAAAUUAAUUUGAACAUUUUUUACAUUUCUCAAUGUCAGGUUUUGAAAUGAAGACAAAAGUACAUCUAAAUCUAAAAGGGCAUUCAAAAAUGUUUGCAAGUCUCAUACGGAGACUUUGAUACAAAUUCGAAUACGUUAUUGACAGCUGUAUACAGUACGUACUUUUUAUGCAUGAUUUUAAGUUUGUAUUUAGAAAUUGGUAAUGAUUGUGUUUCUUACCAGUGUCAGGACAGAACUCUGGAAUUUUCAAAACACGGAGCAGCGUGCAGUGACAGAUUCCCCAAGGAUUUUCCUGCACAGGCAUGGAUGUUCUGGGUUCUUCCAGAGGUGGCAGCAGGGAGAAGGACCAAGAAGAUGAGUCUUGAGAACAUACAGAGGAAAUGAAAAUCAUUUAAAAGAAGCAUGUUUAUGAAAAACAGUGCAGCUCAAAGUAAUUUAGAGCUCGAAAGCCGUAUGUAUUGUAUUGUAUGUGUGAUGUGGAUUAUAUUCUAUUGUCUGGAAGUUUGCAUGCCAACCAAUGUAAGAUGACUAGAUGCUUUUUGUCAUCCUAAGGUCCAGCGGGGGUGGCUCCAAGGAUUCCUCGACACGUUCAUCAGAAGUAGCAAAGCUGUGGUGACCAAGUCCAGAGGCUCUUCUCCGUAGUAUUUUAAUUAAGCACAUUUUUCACUGAUAAAUUGCACACCCAUAGUCAUAACAUAACAAACUUCAAAAACAUAAAUCAUACUUCCUGUGCUGGAGUUAUUUGCUGUGCUGUAUCCCGAAUUCUUGCUUCACUACUCCCCUCUGUCCCUGUAUGGCAUAAAGUGGUUAGAAAAUGGAUUGAUUGAUUGCUUGAUUAAUAUAUUUAACAGCAUUAGGGUUAGGGCUACAGCCCAUAGUUAAUUACAAUUCUAUAUUCAGCAUUGCAGUAUUAUAUUUUUUAAUGUUAAGUCUGUUUUGUAAGGUGUCAGCAAUAUGCACGAACAAUAUUGAAAGGGUGACCAUUUAUCACAAGACUGCAGUUAUGUCCCCUGAGACCUCUAGUCUCUUCUGGGUUUUCUCUAGUUAAGCGUUCACCUACUUAAUUGGCCCAAUUAAUUGAUUUCCUGGCUGAAUUAAAUCCAGGCACCAGAAGGUUCUGUAAAGAGAACAGGACCUAAGGAUCUUCUAGUUUUCAUUCAACCUCUAUUCCUUUCAGUGGAACAAAUUAUUGAAUCAAGAAGUUAAGUCACCUAUUCGUUUACAUAUUAAUCUGCUGCUAUUCGCAAAUUACCUGUGUACCUAAAUCCAAGAUUAGAAAUCCACACAUAAAAGAUUGGAGUUGAGCAUUCAUGUUGUAUAAGAAGAUGAUAUUCCAAGAGAUACUGGAGAUAUUCUGUACCCAAAGAGUAGCAGGGGUAUGGACCAAGUUACCCUGCCAUAUUGCUGAAGCCAAUACCCCGCUUUCUUUCAAAACGUGGUUGAUAGGCUCUCUGGAUCAAUAAGCCACUAACUACCAAAUGUUUGUAACAUUUCUUUUGUUCUUAUGAGUUGUCCAUACAAUACCUACUUCACAAUGAGGUGGUGCUUUUUCAACAUUUGACACUACUGUAUGUCUUGCACCCUGACUACUAUCAAUUCCUGCAUUGUUUUAGUUAAAUUUAUAGACUGAAAUAGUUUAAUGUUUUUACAUUGAUACAUUAUGAGUUCAUUCAUACUCCAAACCACAUUUCUUACAGGUUACCUGUCAUACAGUAUGAAUAAUGCAGCAUACUUAGCUUUCCAAUAAUUUUAAAGGACGUGUUCAUAUCCCUGUCACAUUUCUUUCGGUCAAAGAAGCUUAUACACCAUUAUUAAGAUUUAAUGCAAAUAUGUGAACGCAAGGCAUCAGUUUUAGCAUCACUGCUUGUAUUUAAAUUCGUAGCUACCUCUGAGAUGUUUACUGAUGUUGCUAACACUGCGCCAAUAAAACAAUUAAGAUAUGGAGUGAAGGUAAUUACCUGAGAUCAGCAUUAGACAAAUGUGUUAUAUUGGUUUUAAUAAUGCCAAGUAAUGCUAAAAUUGUAAACAUCAUUAAAACCUAGCCCACGGUGUAUUUCCUUCUUCAUAAGAUGUUCUCCGACUCUUUUCAACUAAUCAGUAGUACAUACUGUAGUUGUCAUGGGUUCAUUUUCACAAUAGCACUGUAAUAAGAGAAUGCACACCUUUACACCUUGUUAAAAUAAAACAAAUGAAAAGUAACUCAAAAGCCAGAGUGCCUUUACAGCAAAAAUAAGACAACAGUAAGCAGGGUGAUUUCAAUCAUUCCAGUCAUGUAAGCUGAACCGUAGCUCAGGUACAGUAUGCCAUCGUCAGCUACAGUCAUGCCUCAAACUACUUCAGUUAACCUUGCGUUUGAUUUUCAGCAAUCAGAAUUUAUACCGGAGCCCAGUGAUCUUCCCUUCAAAUCCUUGAAGGGCAACAAACCACCAACCAGGUUUUAGAAGGAAGCUAAACCCACUCAAUGAUUAAAGACUUGGGCAUUUUGUAUUUGCAAUUAAGACCAAUUAAUUAAAUAAUUGAUUAAGAGAUCAGGUAGAAUGAGAAAUAUAAAGGCUGGGAGUCUAACCAAAUCUGGAUUAUACACCUUAAGGCUUUAAAGGGACAGCAUUUUAAAAAAAGUAAUUAUGUGUUUUAGAAAUAAUUAUUUUUCCCUUCUUUGUGGCCCUGGUAUGAGAUAUGAGUAAGGUGAAAGAUUACAUUUUAUGGGUGAUGUUAUGGCUAGUUUUAUUACAUGGAAGUUAGAUUUUAUGUCUUCUACAACUAAACCUUGAAAUACAGCAUUAAUUUAAAUUACUUGUGUUAAUCUCUUAGAGAUGAAUGCAAAAUAAGAUGAUUUAUUAAUAUUUAAAAUGCUGUAUUGCAGGGAUGGUGUUACACAAUUACUUGUAAGGGCAGCACACAAAACACAAACAGAACAAAGUUUUUUUAUGAUAAUUAUUAGUAAAAUAACUAUGUUAAUAAUAUUCCGUCUUUGCUAAUUUCAGUACUGAGAACUGAUCAGUAAAUGAAAAAAAAUCACCUUUCUAAGUUGAAUUUUAGGAUUUGAGUAUUUAAUUUGUUGUGAUUUUUUCUUUUACUAAUACUUUUAAAUUUUCCCUGUGGCCAUACUCCCAGGUGGGGAGAUGCUUAGAUGCUUACCUUGCAAAUUGGAAAAGCUAUUUUUAUGGAACUAUCCCUCCUGUAAUAAUUCAUCUACUGGUAUGAAAUCCCUCACACAAAGACAAACAUUGUUUUAUCAUUUCAUCACAGGACUACGGGGUCUGCUAUAUUCAUCAGCCUCAGCCUUAUCCCACAUCUAAGCAUUUUAU
rnacentral:lncRNA from 1 species